AGAGUUUGAUCAUGGCUCAGAUUGAACGCUGGCGGAAUGCUUUACACAUGCAAGUCGAACGGGCUUAAGGGGCUUGCUCCUUAAGUUAGUGGCGAACGGGUGAGUAAUAUAUCGGAACGUAUCCAAUAGUGGGGGAUAACGAGUCGAAAGAUUCGCUAAUACCGCAUACGCCCUGAGGGGGAAAGUGGGGGACCGCAAGGCCUCACGCUAAUGGAGCGGCCGAUAUCUGAUUAGCUAGUUGGUGAGGUAAAGGCUCACCAAGGCGACGAUCAGUAGCUGGUCUGAGAGGACGACCAGCCACACUGGAACUGAGACACGGUCCAGACUCCUACGGGAGGCAGCAGUGGGGAAUUUUGGACAAUGGGCGAAAGCCUGAUCCAGCCAUUCCGCGUGAGUGAAGAAGGCCUUCGGGUUGUAAAGCUCUUUCGCAAGGGAAGAAAGAUUACUUUUUAAUAAAGAGUGAUUAUGACGGUACCUUGAUAAGAAGCACCGGCUAACUACGUGCCAGCAGCCGCGGUAAUACGUAGGGUGCGAGCGUUAAUCGGAAUUACUGGGCGUAAAGCGAGCGCAGGCGGUUCUGCAUGUCAGAUGUGAAAUCCCCGGGCUCAACCUGGGAACUGCGUUUGAAACUACAGAGCUAGAGUAUAGGAGAGGGAGGUAGAAUUCCACGUGUAGCAGUGAAAUGCGUAGAGAUGUGGAG
rnacentral:rRNA from 1 species